AGAGUUUGAUCCUGGCUCAGAAUCAACGCUGGCGGCGCGCCUAACACAUGCAAGUCGAACGAGAAAGCGGGAGCAAUCUCGCAAGUAAAGUGGCGUACGGGUGAGUAACACGUGGAUUAUCUGCCCUGGAGUGGGGAAUAACGCUGGGAAACCGGCGCUAAUACCGCAUAUUCCCGAGAGGGGAAAGCAGCAAUGCGCUCGAGGAGGAGUCCGCGGCCGAUUAGCUAGUUGGCAGGGUAAAAGCCUACCAAGGCUGUGAUCGGUAGCCGGCCUGAGAGGGCACACGGCCACACUGGCACUGAGACACGGGCCAGACUCCUACGGGAGGCAGCAGUGGGGAAUCUUGCACAAUGGGGGAAACCCUGAUGCAGCGACGCCGCGUGAGCGAUGAAGCCCUUCGGGGUGUAAAGCUCUUUCGGCAGGGAAGAUGAUGACGGUACCUGCAGAAGCAGCUGCGGCUAACUACGUGCCAGCAGCCGCGGUAAUACGUAGGCAGCAAGCGUUGUUCGGAGUUACUGGGCGUAAAGGGUGUGUAGGCGGCUCUCUAAGUUUGGUGUGAAAUCUCCCGGCUCAACCGGGAGGGUGCGCCGAAAACUGGAGGGCUAGAGUGCGGGAUGGGAGAGUAGAAUUCCUGGUGUAGCGGUGAAAUGCGUAGAUAUCAGGAGGAAUACCGGUGGUGUAGACGGCUCUCUGGACCGCAACUGACGCUGAAACACGAAAGCGUGGGUAGCAAACAGGAUUAGAUACCCUGGUAGUCCACGCCCUAAACGAUGCAUAUUUGGUGUAUGUCAUUCAGUUGAUCUGUGCCGGAGCUAACGCGUUAAAUAUGCCGCCUGGGGAGUACAGUCGCAAGGCUGAACUCAAGGAAUUGACGGGGGCCCGCACAAGCGGUGGAGCAUGUGGUUCAAUUCGACGCAACGCGAAGAACCUUACCUGGGCUCGAACGGCUAGUCAACGAUCG
rnacentral:rRNA from 1 species